rnacentral:rRNA from 1 species
CCGACCUGAACUCAGAUGUGACU